GGGAAGGUAGCUCAGUGGUAAAGCGCUUGCCUUGCAUGCAUGAAGCCCUAGGUUCGAUUCCCUAGCACCA
rnacentral:tRNA from 1 species